AACGAACGCUGGCGGCAUGCUUAACACAUGCAAGUCGAACGCGUGGCUACGGCCACGAGUGGCGCACGGGUGAGUAACGCGUGGGAACCUGCCCGGCAGUACGGGACAACCGCGGGAAACCGCGGCUAAUACCGUAUGAGCCCUGAGGGGGAAAGAUUUAUCGCUGUCGGAGGGGCCCGCGUCGGAUGAGGUAGUUGGUGGGGUAACGGCCUACCAAGCCUGCGAUCCGUAGCUGGUCUGAGAGGAUGAUCAGCCACACUGGGCCUGAGACACGGCCCAGACUCCUACGGGAGGCAGCAGUGGGGAAUAUUGGACAAUGGGGGAAACCCUGAUCCAGCAAUGCCGCGUGAGUGAUGAAGGCCUUAGGGUUGUAAAGCUCUUUCGCACGCGACGAUGAUGACGGUAGCGUGAGAAGAAGCCCCGGCUAACUCCGUGCCAGCCGCCGCCGUAACAC
rnacentral:rRNA from 1 species